rnacentral:rRNA from 1 species
AUUGAACGCUGGCGGCAUGCUUUACACAUGCAAGUCGAACGGUAACAGGCCGCAAGGUGCUGACGAGUGGCGAACGGGUGAGUAAUGCGUCGGAACGUGCCGAGUAGUGGGGGAUAACGCAGCGAAAGUUGUGCUAAUACCGCAUACGUACUGAGGUAGAAAGUGGGGGACCUUCGGGCCUCACGCUAUUCGAGCGGCCGACGUCUGAUUAGCUAGUAGGUUGGGGAAAGGCACGACUAGGCGACGAUCAGUAGCGGGUCUGAGAGGAUGAUCCGCCACACUGGGACUGAGACACGGCCCAGACUCCUACGGGAGGCAGCAGUGGGGAAUUUUGGACAAUGGGCGAAAGCCUGAUCCAGCCAUGCCGCGUGUCUGAAGAAGGCCUUCGGGUUGUAAAGGACUUUUGUCAGGGAGGAAAUCCCUAGCGUUAAUACCGCUGGGGGAUGACAGUACCUGAAGAAUAAGCACCGGCUAACUACGUGCCAGCAGCCGCCGUAAAAC